CUCUACCCCUGUCGCACCGUGUCUGUGUCUGCUCACAUGAUGACCAUAAAGGGGGAUGGGUAAUUAUGCCUAGCAGAAGUAGGAGGAAAGGCCGGCCUGGUUUCAUGGCAAGGUUAGCAUGGUAUGUGGGCACACACCGAAAGUGGCCCGCUGCUGCACUUCAGCCCCAACCAGGGAGAAAGUGUCCCCACGGGCAGAGCUUUGGGCCGUGGGUCUGAUCAUCACCUUUAUGUGGAAAGAAAAGCAGCCCAAGAUCAGGCCAGCUGUGGGAUCCCAGGCAGGGGUUAGUGACAAGCCUGGUGGUCAGGGGCCCUGGGGAAGGAAGACUGGAAGGUUAGGGACAAGGACGUUUGGGAAGAAGGAUGGACCUGAGGGAGUAGCUGGAGCGUGGAGAUUUCUGCAUCCCAUAUUAACUCCCACUGAGAGCAUGUAUCAUAGACAGCAGACAGCCAGGGAGACAUGAUGACACAGCCAGUGGAUGUCAGCCAGCCUCUGCCACUGGUCACCUGUACAUGGCACAGGGCUCAUGAACACAGCAGCCGUGGUGGCAGGGAUGGAGGCUGCGCGUGGGCCUGAAAGAAGGGGCUCCCACUCCCACGGCUGGGUAGCCACCACUGCUGUGGAAUGUCCAACCUGCCUGCGACAGAGAUCAAUGCUGAGCCCCUGAUAUGACGGCAUUCCCCGAGGAGACUGACCAGCCACCUGGUAGCAAGCUGAUGACGUCGACUCUUGCACCACUCUGGAAGGGGCAGUGGUGCAUCCUGGCUGGAGCUAACCUUUAGUUUAGGAGUGAUUUGCUGUUCGUGUCCUGCAGGGCCUGUCAGGAUUCCCAAGGUUUCACAGGUGUUUUCUCUCCUGGUAGAGGAUCCUGUUAGGUGUUGAAUUCUGUUCCUACAAAAUUCAUGUUCUGGGCCAGGCGCUGUGGCUCACGCCUGUAAUCCCAGCACUUUGGGAGGCCAGGGCGGGCAGAUCACUUGAGGUCAGGAGUUCGAGACCAG
rnacentral:lncRNA from 10 species